UUUUGUUAUAAAAUGCAAAUGACAGUGAAAAGAAACUUAUUCUUUACAAGGCAUCUAUAAUUUUCUUGUAAUGCAGUGAUAGAUUUGCAUAAAUUAUCUUCAUCUGAAAUACAAAGCGGCAAAUAGGUGCUCUCUAGCAAGUAAAGGCUGGAUAAUAAUGAAUUGGAUAUAUCGAGAGGGUGAAUUCAGGAUCACACUAGACUGCUACUUUGGAAUGGGAAAAAGCUUUUGUCCUGCAAGCUCAAGAAAAAGGAUAAAAGUAACAAGAAAAAAUAGACUGUUAUGCUUAAUUUGUAUAGUUUGUAAACGAUGUAACGGAUUCAAUCAUACCCCCUUAGGUAAGUCUUAUAA